UGCAUGGUGGUGCAGUUGGUGACACAACAAAAAAGGUCCUGGGUUCAAAUCCCGGCCUGGAGUUUGCAU